rnacentral:rRNA from 1 species
AACGCGAAGAACCUUACCUGGCCUUGACAUCUACGGAAUCCUACAGAGAUGUGGGAGUGCCUUCGGGAACCGUAAGACAGGUGCUGCAUGGCUGUCGUCAGCUCGUGUCGUGAGAUGUUGGGUUAAGUCCCGCAACGAGCGCAACCCUUGUCCUUAGUUGCCAUCAUUAAGUUGGGAACUCUAAGGAGACCGCCGGUGACAAACCGGAGGAAGGUGGGGAUGACGUCAAGUCAUCAUGGCCUUUAUGGCCAGGGCUACACACGUGCUACAAUGGCAGGUACAGAGGGACGCCAACGCGCGAGCGGGAGCCAAUCCCAGAAAGCCUGUCGUAGUCCGGAUCGGAGUCUGCAACUCGACUCUGUGAAGUCGGAAUCGCUAGUAAUCGCAGAUCAGCAUUGCUGCGGUGAAUACGUUCCCGGGCCUUGUACACACCGCUCGCGA